UCCCACAGUUUAUAGGGUGAUGGGCUCAGGUGCUCAGCCAGGGUGGGAGGGGGAAAAUGUCUCAUCCCACUCCUCCCACCUUGGCACAGGGACAGCAGCUCAUUAAAAGCCAGGCAGGGUUUGGAGCAAGGAGCAGGGGCUGAAGAGUGAACUGGAGUGAGUUUGGUGCCAUCACAUCUCCCCACGUGGAUUCUGGGUGCUGCUGGAGGAGCUGGUACCCGGCCAGAGCCUGGUACUUGGAGCCUGCAGGAAUUCGGUGCUUUUGCCUCGAUACCCACCUGCUCAUUAGGACCAUCUGGGAAUGGGAAUUGGAGCUACAAACAAGCUGUGAGUGUUGAGCUUUUCUCCCAGAGCGUGAGGACCUGGCUGGACAUUGUGCCUCAGAGGAAGCAGCCAGGAAAGCACUGAACAUAUCCAGCUUGCAAGAGCCCAUCAUGCUGCCAGCCCUCCGUAAUUAUGUAAUGGGGGAAAUUGGGAAUUCUGGGUUUGCAUCAAUCUGCAAUACCCUGGGUCUCACCUCCACUGGAGCUGCCCCCAUGGAAAUGCAGCCCUGGAGGUGCUGGGCUGUCUUCUUCUGCACCCCUCACCCCACUGAUUGUCCCACACCUCUGGAA